CUGAAUAUUUUUUAUACAACCCGCUAAAAAGUUGCUCGAAAAAGAAACAGCGCCUAGAAUUUUUUUUGCUUCUUGCGCUACGUCAGUUUACUUACUACAAGUAAUGGGUAGUAUGUACGCCGGCUAUUUCCUCACUCUGAGGUGA
rfam:Pseudomonas fluorescens Pf-5, complete genome.